ACGAGAUGUUCACAACGCGGGCAGGGACGUGGACAAUGAGAAUGCUGCCAUCUCCAUGAAAAAAGCCCAUGUUCGCCAGCUGGAGGAUAAGAUACAACAGGGAGGAGAAGCAAGGUGCCCCUUGUUGACAAUCCCAGAAGCAGAAGCUCAUGCCCAGAAGCACAGCUGCCUAGUUGACAGGCUCAGCUGAGACCAGAAGAAUGGCCCCACCAAGCCCAGCCUAAAUGGCUGACCAUCACAAUUAUGAGCUAAGAAGUUUUGGAUGGUUUGUUAUGCUGUAAGAGCUAACUAAUACGUGCACCCAGUGCAGAUAGGAUGCCAAAAAUUAAUGGCAAGUUGAUUACUAAUUACGUUCUAACAGUGGGCACCCUAAAAGUGCUGACUUUUUUCCCCUGAUUUAAAGUUAGAUGUUUUGUAAUACUGAGAAAUGAAUAAAUACAUGUAGACAUGUGUGCAUGUGAUUGGUG
rnacentral:lncRNA from 1 species